AAACAGUGAAAAGUGACUACUU
rnacentral:snRNA from 1 species